rnacentral:rRNA from 1 species
UACGUAGGGUGCGAGCGUUGUCCGGAAUCAUUUGGGCGUAAAGCGCGUGUAGGCGGUUCGGUAAGUCUGCUGUGAAAGUCCAGGGCUCAACCCUGGGAUGCCGGUGGAUACUGUCGGACUAGAGUACGGAAGAGGCGAGUGGAAUUCCCGGUGUAGCGGUGAAAUGCGCAGAUAUCAGGAGGAACACCGGUGGCGAAGGCGGGUCUCUGGGCAACAACUGACGCUGGAGGAGCGGAAAGCGUGGGGAGCGAACAGG